AGCUUUCAUUCAGCUCUGUUUACUCCGUGAUGUUUUGUGCAUAUUUCCCUAAACACCUUUUAUUAAAAGUAAAUAAAGCAAGUUCGAUCUGUCAACAUUGCCAAAAGCUUUUUGAAAAUCUAACUGCAGUGUAAACGAGACUACCCUGGUUGACAGGUAUUUCUGUAUCAAGGACAACAUGCAAAAUACGUUGGUAUUCGUUCUCUAGCCUUUGUGGAAACCUGCUUUGGGCCUUUGGGGGUAAUUCAUUAUCUUUUGCCAGAAACGAGACAAUCUGCUGAAGUUACUGUAUAAUUUACUUUUGAUAUUCAAAGCUGUCUGCGUUGUCCUUUUUAUGGAGAGAAAAUAUUUGAGCCUUCGGCGAACAGUCCGGAUGCCACUGGUUCGAACUUUAUUUUAAAAGUGAAAUCAGAAGUCUCACAAGGGUAUUGUUUACAAAUUUCAACCAUCCAUCAGUCAGUUAGUCCUCCCUUGAAUGGUACUGGUCGUCGGGAAGGGGGAGAGCACACGGACAGACGAAGCAGUUGAGAGCCCGUUACCCACGCCUGUCUUGGGCAAUAGUGAGCAGGUCCUGCACAAGACGACUAUAGUCCACCCGUUGAUGUUUCAUCCUCUGACCACCUUCCAGGGUACCUUGAAGAAUAGUCUUUGACAAUGUGUCGUGCCGGGUCACAUGACCAGACCGGACCAGCUUACGCCCCUUGACUGUUUGCAAGAAAGGGUUCCUCACGUCUUCUGAACGUGGCGACCAUGCUUCGUACGAACUCAUUGGUUCUAAGUUCUCUGUGCGAGAUCCAGAGCAGCCUCAUCAAGCAUUUUGUUCUCGAACGCCCGAAUUCUCAUCUCCGUAUCGACAAACAGGGUCCACGUGUCACAUCCGGAAAGCAGGAUCGACACCAGGAGGACUUGUAUAUGUUGUGUUUCGUGAAAGACCCUGUCCAGCGUAUCAUUGCCGCUGCUGCUGUCGCGAUCCUGAUGCAGAUAUCUGUCGUGGUCCUGCCAUCAUAGGAGAGGGUGGCUCCCAGGGACUAAAAUGGUAUGCUUUUAAAUGCUUGUGAUUGUUUGGGUCAAAAUAUAUUCAUAGAGUUAUAACGGCGACUGUUCGUAACUAUGUUAACUGGACACUUGAACUGUACACUAAGGUACACAACAAUGUCAACUGUUGUUGUUGUUGUUGUUGUUGUUGUUGUUGUUGUUGUUGUACGAGCUCACGUGGUCGGCGAACGCUACCCGUAUCAGCAGCGAAGUGCUCUACCUCUGGGGUGAAGGUGCCAUGCAUGUGCAAUUCUCCAAAUCGUCCACACAGACGACAAGCAGACAUGUUUGUCCCGUAACGGACGUUCCUUGAUUGUCCCGUAAAAUUGAUUUCAUUAUUAUUAUCCACUUCAUAUACCUUUACGUUGCUAUGGAUCGAGAGAGCUUAUAGAUUUACCGCAAUCUGCUGUUUCUUUGUCGGGGCGGGUCAAAUGAUUUCACGGGCCAUUUACGGCCCGCGGGCCGCACGUUCUCCACCCCUGAUGAAGAUCAAAACAUUAAAUGAGCGCGGCAUCCUGUGUACACAAGCUUUCUCUUUUUUGAUCCUUCCUUUAUUCUAUCUUUUCCUCUCUCUCAUUUUCAUUUUCAUACAAAUACACACGUGCAACAAAACGCACGAGCACACACACACACACACGUGCGCAGAAGAAAGAACGAAAAUAUAAAGACGGUGGGCAGGAGGAGGUCUUGCAGACAUGAAUAAAAUAAAGAAGAUGACCAAGUGAUAAGUGGACUGCCUCACAUGUUAGUGUCGAUGGGCGGACAGCCGCACAAGGCACGCGAGGCUGUGAUGAUCUUAGCAGGCCACAUUAGAAGUGAAAGCCUGGUGACACGACUGACCGGUCACAGGUGUCAGGGCAGAGGGGUCAGAGGUCUGCGGGUCACAGGAUGCUCCCAGAGAAACUCAUGGCCAUACAUUCUAUAGUUAUUUCUUCUUCUGUCCCUUGGAUCUCAUUUCUUUCUCACCAUCAUGAAAUCAAGUCUAGGCUCUUCUAUUUUGUUUUUAUUAGCGUCAGUAGUAUGUUAUCACUUUAAAAAAAGGAAGAAAGGAUUGCAGGAAAGAAAAAAAUGAAUGAGAGAGAGAAAGAAAGAUAGUUUGUCACAAGUGAGGGUAACUGAUCUGAUUUCGUUACAUAUUCUGUGUGCUAUCAGUUUAUCGGCCUUUGGACAUUCUUCACACUGAGCAUCUCCUAGAUAUGUCGUGUGACAACGCGUGGCAACCAUCUUAUAAUCAUGUGUCAGAACGAAUCACGUGACAGGCGUGUGUGAUAUGUUAACAGACAUGCUGGACAGUCGUGGACGGUCAAUGAAAUCCAUAAAAAAUUAAGAUGGCAUGUAAGAAUUUUAACAUUUCGCAUCCUGUUGAUCUGAGUAUUCUCAAAGUCGAUGACAAAAAUAAAAGCCCUCGUUAGGCUGCUGUCAUCACUGGGCCACUCGGGUAUGUCUAAAGUGGGAGAGUUGUGUGUGGUGAGAAAGAGUACAAAGGAACGAGAAGGAAGACAGGGGAAAAAAAGACCUGUUGGGACAAAUUAUAAAAAUAAUUUUGAAAUGAGACAAAGAUAAGCUAAAGUGAAAAAAAAACAACACAAAAAACAAACAGCCAGAUAGUGUCUUCUGGUUCAUGGAAAAUUAGAACAAGACGACUUUACAUAUUUACUGCUCAUCGAAAACUAAGUCAAUGAGAUGAUUUUACAGGUUUCUUUACUGGUGAGUCAUAUUUGUGGAAAGGUAUGAUAAUGAACGUUUGCUCGAGAACACGCACAAGCAUUCACAUAUUCACGAACAUGCAAAUUCUGAAGACCUAAUAUUGAUACAGAUAAUAUUGAUGCACGUAUGACUGAUGGUUAUACUGAUAAUAUGGAUGACAGUUUGAAGUUUUAAUUUUUUUUUUUAAUUUAAAGGUCCAGCAUGUUGCGAUGGUUGCCGUGUGGGUCAAUCGACUACAUGGGUAGUAAACAUUAUGAGUGUUUAUAAGGAGCAACAAGCGCUGAGUGACCAUCCAACUCCGAACACACGACAGGAAAACAAACCAAAAAUUCAGAUGGGAAGAGGUUAUACGGACUCGUAGUGAGCUGUACCUGUGUCCAUAGAAGGGAUGGGGCAUGCACGCGUAUGCAUCUGCACGUGCGAGGUUUCCUCCAACGUCUUCACCAGGUGUUGUUCUACCUCCAGCACCCGGCGAUUUCCACGUCCUCAGUUACAGCCGAGCCAGGGUACAUGACAGGUCAUGACCACGGGUAGCGCCUCCAGAACCGACUCGCAGGUAACGAUAACCACCGCAGACCCAGGGGACUGUCAUCUCCUCACUUGGACUUCAUCGCCAGUGACCGACCGCGCGAGAUGGAGUGGAGUCAGUGACCUGAAGGCGCGUGCUGUGUGACCUCGGCCGAACAAUAACCGAGGGAGGGCAGCCACCCGACAGUUAUGCCUCAUGCCGUGGCCUUGCGUGACUUUGAGGUCACAAGCGGCUGUGGUGUAUGGGUCGCUACACAUGUACAUACACUGUAAGUCUGGCCGUGGUCAGUGUGGCGAACCGUGGGGGUAAAGGGACACUGCUCGUUACCACCAUCUCUUCAUCACGCUCAGUCGACAGCCGGGCUACACCACCACGUACAUGCGCGCGCGUGCGCACAUCGCGUCCUUCCCAUUGGCUUGGCAACGCGACCAAUGGCGUGGCGGCACACCAGUGUAGUCCGGAGGUCGACCACCGGUCCACAGAGCUUCAGUAGCUUGCAAACAGAGGAUGACCUGCACAAGGACUGCAGGACGAGCCCCCGAGCUAGCUCUGUGACCAAGGGACUCGAGGUGUAGCAGUUCAUGACCCCGGCCAGGCAAACUUUCGCCCUUAUCCCAUGCGGCCUUGCGCACAGAUCGUCUGCAAGCAACGAGUUGCCUGUCCAGAGAUUUGGAUCGCAACUUGGUUGCUCAUUUUAGUCAGUUUUACCGGCAUCUACCAAGCUGUCUCCAGCCCCUGCUCUCCCAGCCCGUCAUUGCCAUCAUCCCAUCAUGCUCAGAACCGGUGAGAAACACCGGCGCACCGUCUUCCUUCCACGAAAGCAGGCCCUUCACGAUCGUCAGAUGCGGCAGACGUUUGUCAGCGUGACCUGAGAUUGAUGAUGAUGUUGAUGACGACGACGAUGACUUGACCUGCGAGACACCUGGUCUUCCAUGACGUCACACUGAUGACAUCGUCGCGACCGUUACGACCACCUCAAGACUAACGUGUAGGUGACUAACUCAAGGGGCGGAACUUUCCGAUGACAAGAAAGAAGAUUCCCGUGGUGAUGGUUCGUGAUUCAACGAAAUGGUGACCCGUGACGACGAGAGGUCAGUGGUGCUAGACACAGGGAGAGUGAGGACCACGGGGAGCUAAGACCCUCGUGAACACGUGUUAUCACUUUAUCAUCACAUUGUUUAUCAAGAGAGAAACAAAGUGGAUGACAACACACAGACAGACACACCCACUGUUGUGACAUUCCUUCCCUUAGUGCGCACUCGGUUGUCUCCCAUCAACCAUGGUCCUGUCACUUCACCAGACAACUCCACUAUGGCCUGUCGCUGAUUAUGUCCCUUGAUAUCACUUUUAAUUUGUUUAUGUUGUUGGUCUCUCUCUUGCCCAGUUUCCUGCUCGCUCAAGGAUUUUUUUUCGAAAUUUACAUGGUAUUAAAACUGUUUUCAGAAUAUAGGAGCAUGACGAGUUUUACUGACCACAAAUUUCCUAGGGGUGGAUUAACAUGGUUUAAAAACGUUCAUAUUUAUUAUUUAAAAAUGUCUCUGACGAUCAGGAGAUUGUGUGGAGCUUAGCUCUGAAGGAUGAUUAUAACACGGGUACAUACAUCGAAUAUUUUAAAAAGGAUGUUCGAUCACGAAUUGUUCGUAUGGUGAGAAUACAAACACGUGUAAAAUUGUGAAUGAAGCCAUUUAUCAUGUUUAGUAAGUUUGUUUUACAUAAAGAUGACCCUUGAUGUUAUUGUAUGCCUCGACAGUGACUAGUACAGUUAAAAAAAUGUCAUUUUGUGCUCCUCUUUGUGACAGGAAUGAUAACAGGCAAAACUUUGUAACUGUCGUUUCGAAUAAACUUCUUGGCGAUACAUAA